rnacentral:rRNA from 1 species
UGGGGAAUUUUGGACAAUGGGCGAAAGCCUGAUCCAGCAAUGCCGCGUGUGUGAAGAAGGCCUUCGGGUUGUAAAGCACUUUUGUCCGGAAAGAAAUCCUUGGCUCUAAUACAGCCGGGGGAUGACGGUACCGGAAGAAUAAGCACCGGCUAACUACGUGCCAGCAGCCGCGGUAAUACGUAGGGUGCAAGCGUUAAUCGGAAUUACUGGGCGUAAAGCGUGCGCAGGCGGUUUGCUAAGACCGAUGUGAAAUCCCCGGGCUCAACCUGGGAACUGCAUUGGUGACUGGCAGGCUAGAGUAUGGCAGAGGGGGGUAGAAUUCCACGUGUAGCAGUGAAAUGCGUAGAGAUGUGGAGGAAUACCGAUGGCGAAGGCAGCCCCCUGGGCCAAUACUGACGCUCAUGCACGAAAGCGUGGGGGAGCAAACAGGAUUAGAUACCCUGGUAGUCCACGCCCUAAACGAUGUCAACUAGUUGUUGGGGAUUCAUUUCCUUAGUAACGUAGCUAACGCGUGAAGUUGACCGCCUGGGGGGUACGGUCGCAAGAUUAAAACUU